UUAAGGAAUUUUCUUUAUUUUUUACAAAUUAAGACUAUGUAGAUUUCAUAUAUUUCUCAAUCAAAAACACCUUUGUCUUCACAGUAUGAGUUAGAAUGCAGCCUGAGCUGAAAAUUAAGGAACUAGAAAAUAAAGUGGUAAUUAGAGAUAACUGUAUUUUAAAAAUCUGUUAGGCAUUUUCUUUAAAAGUAGUUUUUUUUUGUUUUUUUUUUUAAAUAUCUUGUCAUUCUUGGCACUGUUUCUAAAGAACUCCAUUAUUCCAAGCAAUAAAAGCACAGAAGGUAGAGUUUGGCUUCAAGGGAUAUAACUCAAAUUCUUGGGACUGGCAGAGAAUCACCAAAUUCAUGGAGAGUGCUGCUAACAGGGGUUUAAUACAAAUAAAGUCCCUUUAUUAAGUUAUCAAGCCAGAGGCUGGAGGCAGCAGCUAAAUCAGAACAGCACCCUCAGUGAGCCAUUCUGGGUGGCAUGCCACUCCAGGAAUAAACACAACUUGGAAACAAAUGGUUUCAUAGGAUAACACAGUGACAUGGUACACUGUGAACCUGCAGCCACUGUGUCAAACUGUGCACUGGUUGUGAAUAAGGAGAGCCAAAAAUUAUGUCCUACUGGUAAUGAGCUUUCAAAGGCUCGAUCCUCUCAUACUGUAGCCCUGUACAGCAGCUCAGAGAAACAGUCACGCCCCACACUGGCCCCUCUGUGGGCAGCUGUCUGUGGCAGCCCACAGGGAAGGAGCUGGAGAUCGCCAUUAGAACUGUCCAUCCACACUUGGAAGCCAAAGGCUGCAUGGAUUGGGGCUCUCACUGGUUUGGUCACCUAACUCCUGCUUAAAAGGCCACAAAUUUCUGGAAAAUAGGUAACAGACCAAAAACUAAAGUGUAUCAGUAAAGUGAACAUUUAUCUACUGCCCUGAAUCUCUGGCUUGACACCACCAAUUGGUAUCUAGUUCGGGACAGACUAAAAUGCACUGAAGGACUGUUAGGAUUGCUGCCUCCUACGUUAUCACAGCCCCGUUCUGUUGAUCUGAAGGAGGAACCGCUUGGUUAGUAAAGAGUUUGCUCCCCGCUGCCCCAAACAGGUCUGGCAGGAUUGGUUACAAUGAACUCCAGAGGCUCAACCAUUCCCUUUCCCUAUCCUUGCUCUCUUGGGACACUUAAUCAUAGCUACCUAGUAGAGAACAUUCAGUAAGGGGAUAACCAACUAAAAAAACAAAAACAGGGCAAGUUUAGGGGAAUCCUACGAUGCUGUACCUUGAGACAUAUAAUCAGCCUUUUCAAAAAUUCCUGACAAGAAUUAGUCUUCCCUUUGUGCUGGUCUUCCCACCCAUGGAUGGAAGCAGGCUGACUCGCUGAGGGUCAGGCAAGGGGUGGGGAGAGGAAACACACAUAAAUCCACAUUACUUUUGUGAAGGCAAAGCAGAAAGGUAUGUUUGCCAGAUCAGCGUGGGCAGCUCAGAGGAAGCAAAGCAUCCACCAGAAGAGGCUCUCCAUUUUCUUUGUAGGGCCUGACAGUUCAGAUAUAACAAGGCUGAGUUAACAAUGGGACCAGUGAACUUCUUUCCAAUGGAAAACUCAUGGCCCAGUCCCACAGGAACUGUGCGCAUACCAAACAAUGAUGAGGAAGGAAGGGCCGGGUGGCUGUACCAAACAGCUCAGGUCCACUGGUGGGAAAGUGGACUCCUGAAGUUAGCGCCCUCUGCUGGUCCCAACUCCUCAUCACGGCGAGUUGGCUGCCUGAGUUGAGGAAGAGGCUAUGGAUGGAGUUAACAAAAAAGGGAGCGAGGAGAACCCCAGGAAGACGAAGCCAAACUCCAAACUAUAUUCUGCUAAUCAGUUUUUUGAUCAAAAAAUUCAAAAUAGAGGAAACCACAAA